CGCCCAAGGCCUUCGACUAACUAACAAUCUGAAACACCGUAAACAAAACAAAUAAGACAUAUGGUUACUGUUCAUCAUUGUUAGUCCGCUCCGGACUGCCAUGGCAGCAAACAAACUGGCCCCUGGCCCUGCUAUUAGAAAAUUAGUCUGUUGGUAUUGGGAAGCAAUUUACUAUUUUACCCAUGUUGUUGCCCUAGCUCGUCACUUUUGUGGAAGCAGCAGCAGCAGUAACAGAGAGGCAAGAAGAGAAGUUCUCUCUCUCUCAAUUACGGCGUCGGUUGGACGCUUCAUCUUCAAAUUUUCGAUCUUCAGAUUCAGCUGAGCAUCUGCUGCAUUGAAUGGAUUUGAUCAGUGCCCUGCCAGUAGAUGGAAGACUUGAAAUUCUACAGCGUGUUCCUUUUGUAGAAGCAGCAAGAGCAGACAUCUUGUCGAGUACAAGCAUUUGGUCUGAUCGUCCACAACUUGUGUUUAAUAAGUUCUUGUUUGAAGAGCGCAGCAGAUGGAUUGCACUCGAUCUAACUGCAUGGGUGGACAAAGUGAACGAAACUAUCCGUCGUCACAACGGUCCCAUUGGAAACGUUAUUCUCCACGUUCCGGACAAACAAUUUAAAUGGGCCCCGCAUAUUAACAUCUGGGUUUUUUCCCUGUCAAGGAAGAGUAUCGAGGGACUCACAGUGGAUUAAUUGCCAAAAUGAUACAUACAAGAUCGGUUUUCUCUCUUCUUGCCUAAACUUGACAAGAUUGGAGCUCCGUAAUUGUAUUUUCAACCAAUCAUCUGGUGUUUUUCGGAAUCUCCAGCACAUUUAUCUUAAGAAAAUAGCAUUUGGUUCCGACCAAGUUGGUACUGUUAACCUCGAUGCCCCAUCGCUGGUGUUUUUAAAUCUUUCUUACUGUGUUGGCUUUAAAUAUUUGAAUGUCCAUGCUCCAAAUCUCAAAGUCGUUUCUGCCGUCAACGAAUAUGACGCAAUUCUUGAUGACAAGGAUGAAUUUUCUUUAAGGGUUAGGCGGACAAAAUGCAAUGUCCAUUGGUUGUUCUGUGGUUGACAUGAUGUUUAUUAAGUAUGAUGGAACAGGGAAUUCUUGUUCCAUAUUUCACUCGCAUUGGAUGGGUUGCAAAAGCAAGCAUGCUGUGGCUUAUUGUAUAGUGAUAAAUGUUUUAGAUGUUUAUGAAAUUGUUUAAAGCUCUUUAUUUUGAAGAAAGUCUUGUGUUUGUGCAAGGCACUUCUAUGCUGUGAUAAAAAGUAUUGGUGAAACGGUUAUUCAUACUCUGUUUAUUGGUCAUUAUUAAUAUGAUUUUGGGUUUGUAAUA